AUUCCUUGAUAAGGAAAAAAAGCAACUUGGCAAAGAAUUAAUAUUGUUAAAAUGGCUAUACUACCAAAAGCAAUCUACAGAUUUGGUGUGAUCUCUAUCAGAAUACACAUGACAUUUUACACAAAGCUAGUAAAAAUAAUCCUAAAAUUUA